rnacentral:rRNA from 1 species
CGCGUAGGUGGCUAAUUAAGUCAAAUGUGAAAUCCCCGAGCUUAACUUGGGAAUUGCAUUCGAUACUGGUUGGCUAGAGUAUGGGAGAGGAUGGUAGAAUUCCAGGUGUAGCGGUGAAAUGCGUAGAGAUCUGGAGGAAUACCGAUGGCGAAGGCAGCCAUCUGGACAAAGACUGACGCUCAGGUGCGAAAGCGUGGGGAGCAAACAGGAUUAGAUACCCCCGUA